GAUUAACGCUGGCGGCGUGCAUAACACAUGCGAGUCGAACGAUGAAACUUUACUGACUUCUUCGGAAUGAUUUAAAGCGGAUUAGUGGCGAACGGGUGAGUAACGCGUGAGUAACCUGCCUUACACAAGGGGAUAGCCUCUGGAAACGGAGAAAUACCCUAUGAAACCAGACAAUCGCAUGAUAAUCUGGUCAAAAUGUUUAGUGGUGUAAGAUGGACUUGCGUCUGAUUAGCUAGUUGGUGAGAUAAAAGCUCACCAAGGCAACGAUCAGUAGCCGGCUUGAGAGAGUGUACGGCCACAUUGGGACUGAGACACGGCCCAGACUCCUACGGGAGGCAGCAGUGGGGAAUUUUGCACAAUGGGGGAAACCCUGAUGCAGCGACGCCGCGUGAUUUAGAAGGCCUUCGGGUUGUAAAAAUCUUUUGUAUAGGAAGAAAAUGACAGUACUAUACGAAUAAGGUCCGGCUAAUUACGUG
rnacentral:rRNA from 1 species